rnacentral:rRNA from 1 species
UGGAGAGUUUGAUCCUGGCUCAGGACGAACGCUGGCGGCGUGCCUAAUACAUGCAAGUCGAGCGGACCGACGGGAGCUUGCUCCCUUAGGUCAGCGGCGGACGGGUGAGUAACACGUGGGUAACCUGCCUGUAAGACUGGGAUAACUCCGGGAAACCGGGGCUAAUACCGGAUGCUUGAUUGAACCGCAUGGUUCAAUCAUAAAAGGUGGCUUUUAGCUACCACUURCAGAUGGACCCGCGGCGCAUUAGCUAGUUGGUGAGGUAACGGCUCACCAAGGCGACGAUGCGUAGCCGACCUGAGAGGGUGAUCGGCCACACUGGGACUGAGACACGGCCCAGACUCCUACGGGAGGCAGCAGUAGGGAAUCUUCCGCAAUGGACGAAAGUCUGACGGAGCAACGCCGCGUGAGUGAUGAAGGUUUUCGGAUCGUAAAACUCUGUUGUUAGGGAAGAACAAGUACCGUUCGAAUAGGGCGGYACCUUGACGGUACCUAACCAGAAAGCCACGGCUAACUACGUGCCAGCAGCCGCGGUA